rnacentral:rRNA from 1 species
UACGAAGGGGGCUAGCGUUGUUCGGAAUCACUGGGCGUAAAGCGCACGUAGGCGGAUCUUUAAGUCAGGGGUGAAAUCCCGAGGCUCAACCUCGGAACUGCCUUUGAUACUGGCGACCUUGAGUCCGGGAGAGGUGAGUGGAACUGCGAGUGUAGAGGUGAAAUUCGUAGAUAUUCGCAAGAACACCAGUGGCGAAGGCGGCUCACUGGCCCGGUACUGACGCUGAGGAGCGAAAGCGUGGGGAGCGAACAGG